rnacentral:rRNA from 1 species
UGGGGAAUAUUGCGCAAUGGGCGAAAGCCUGAUGCAGCCAUGCCGCGUGUGUGAAGAAGGCCUUCGGGUUGUAAAGCACUUUCAGCGAGGAGGAAGGGUAGUGUGUUAAUAGCACAUUGCAUUGACGUUACUCGCAGAAGAAGCACCGGCUAACUCCGUGCCAGCAGCCGCGGUAAUACGGAGGGUGCAAGCGUUAAUCGGAAUUACUGGGCGUAAAGCGCACGCAGGCGGUUUGUUAAGUCAGAUGUGAAAUCCCCGCGCUUAACGUGGGAACUGCAUUUGAAACUGGCAAGCUAGAGUCUUGUAGAGGGGGGUAGAAUUCCAGGUGUAGCGGUGAAAUGCGUAGAGAUCUGGAGGAAUACCGGUGGCGAAGGCGGCCCCCUGGACAAAGACUGACGCUCAGGUGCGAAAGCGUGGGGAGCAAACAGGAUUAGAGUACCCUGGUAGUCCACGCUGUAAACGAUGUCGACUUGGAGGUUGUGCCCUUGAGGCGUGGCUUCCGGAGCUAACGCGUUAAGUCGACCGCCUGGGGAGUACGGCCGCAAGGUUAA